CGGCAUCACUGAUCGAGUCUUUUCUCUUUCUCUCAUGAUAAUGACAGUUUGUUCAAAACAAUAAACCGGAGAAUGGAAUGGAUCGAGAAUCAAGUUUCGUAGCUUUUCUGAACAACAUUACAGAUUGGAAGACCUACAUAAUGCAGCGAGCAAAACACAGCAGCAGCAAGCAGUUGUUCGACUUAUUCCAUGAAUGGGCCCCCACGAAUCGGAUAUUUUAUUUCGAAGAAAAAUGAAUGAAAAUGCAACAGUUGCAGACGAAAACGGCAGUAUUUAUUUGUCGAUUCGCGGAAAAAUGAUAUGCAUCCUGAGCAUAUCCGUAAAGUUAUUCGUGGUCAUAGUGAUAUGAAGAGAACCGUGCGGAGAGUUUUGCAGUGAUGAACUUGUAUGCUAACGUUCCGGUGCUGCAUCAUAUCGUCUCGUGAUGUGCGGUUAGAAAUAAGACCGAUGCCGUUCCAACGUAUCCAACGAUAUACUGAUAGCGUGUAGGAACCAGAACAAUUGAAGGUUAUCAAAAUUGAUUCAUGGUCAAUUCCUGCGAACGAGUGAACACCAGCUUUUGACUGAAGUGGCGUGUUUCAACACAAAAAGUAACCACCACCAGCAUCGCUAUGUGGAUUUACAAAAGGAUCCUAUAUACUAUGACUUUCAUCAUGACAUAGCCCCCGGAUAUUGUUUAUGGGAGGUCUAAAUUUUCACCUAUUACCAAGGACCGUUAGUAUUGAAAAUUGGAAUGAUUGCGAUAGCAUUUUGUCAGCCCAUUCGCGCUAAAUGAUUGCUAUUUGUGUAAUAAUAUGCUAAGAUGUUUAUAUUAUUGUGAAUUUUUUUUAUAGAUAACGAUUUAUAAUUGUUACAUUUUUCAUAUUGCCCAGAAAUCAUUGAUUUCUUCAUUCAUCGCGACAGUACGCAGAAUAUCAGAGGAUGUCACGGAUUGAUAUUAUGGAACUGAUGAAUUGUAAUACUGAACGCUAUUCCGGUAGGGAACGAUCGGUAGACAAUCAAACAAAGUAGUAACGAAAUUAAAUUUAAAAAUAGCCGUGCAUGU